rnacentral:rRNA from 1 species
CCUACGGGAAGCAGCAGUGGGGAAUAUUGGACAAUGGGCGAAAGCCUGAUCCAGCCAUGCCGCGUGUGUGAAGAAGGCCUUCGGGUUGUAAAGCACUUUCAGUGGGGAAGAAAGCCUUGGGGCUAAUACCCUCGAGGAAGGACAUCACCCACAGAAGAAGCACCGGCUAACUCCGUGCCAGCAGCCGCGGUAAUACGGAGGGUGCGAGCGUUAAUCGGAAUUACUGGGCGUAAAGCGCGCGUAGGCGGUCUGAUAAGCCGGUUGUGAAAGCCCCGGGCUCAACCUGGGAACGGCAUCCGGAACUGUCAGGCUAGAGUGCAGGAGAGGAAGGUAGAAUUCCCGGUGUAGCGGUGAAAUGCGUAGAGAUCGGGAGGAAUACCAGUGGCGAAGGCGGCCUUCCGGACUGACACUGACGCUGAGGUGCGAAAGCGUGGGUAGCAAACAGGAUUAGAUACCCUGGUAGUC